AGCAGCCGCGGUAAUUCCAGCUCCAAUAGCGUAUAUUAAAGUUGUUGCAGUUAAAAAGCUCGUAGUUGAAUUUCGAGAUCAGUACGCUGGUCGUGCCUUCGGUAUGCACUGGUGUCACUGGUUUCUCCCUUCUGAAGAACCGUCAUGUCAUUCAGUUGGUGUGGCGGGGAAUCAGGACUGUUACUUUGAAAAAUUAGAGUGUUUAAAGCAGGCUCGCGCUUGAAUACAUUAGCAUGGAAUAAUGAAAUAGGACGUUUGACCCUAUUUUGUUGGUUUCUAGGAUCGACGUAAUGAUUAAUAGGGAUAGUUGGGGGCAUUAGUAUUCAAUUGUCAGAGGUGAAAUUCUUGGAUUUAUUGAAGACUAACUACUGCGAAAGCAUUUGCCAAGGAUGUUUUCAUUAAUCAAGAACGAAAGUUAGGGGAUCGAAGACGAUCAGAUACCGUCGUAGUCUUAACCAUAAACUAUGCCGACUAGGGAUCGGAUGAUGUUAAUUUUUAAUGACUCAUUC
rnacentral:rRNA from 1 species